GUCACGAACUACUGUCUUCUUUCUGCAGAUAAACUUGAAUGCUACAGAGACAGCAACAGGAAUUAUCCCAGAAUAUGAACAGAUUCUCUUUACCAGCUGUUUGACCUGAUAAGGCAGAAGAUGCAUUGUGCCACUAACACAUGCCACUUUACUGGAUAUGAAUCAGGGUUUCAACUAAUUGUAUACCCCAAUUUCUUUGAGAAGGAGAUUGGUCUAGAGACAUGCUGGGCUCCCUUCUGAUCUGAACAAAUUCUGUCUGUAUGACCAAUAUUGUUGUAUGGGAUCUACGUAAUUGCAUCAUUGCUGUCAUCUAAGAAGCUGAAAGUUGAGUUGGCUGAAGAUAAAAGCUGAUGUCCUCAUAAUGAGUGAACAGCUAUAGGGUUUUUGCCUUCGCCCCGGGGGAAAAGGAAUUCUUCCUAAAAAGUUCUUCUUCUAAGAAGUUCUUCUUCUAAGUCUUCUUCCUAAGAAAGUUCUUCCUAAGACUCUUCACUGGGCGAGGUCUGAUGAGUUUAACAUCUACAGAGACUGGGAGUAGCCAGGUGACACACGGGAGAUAACGACCAUUAAUGGGCAUUAUUCCUGAACACCACCCCCUGGAGACACCUGGUCUGGGAAAAGAUGGAUAAGAGAACCAAAGAAUGAGGACCAAAUUAGCAUCGAAGGCGAAGGGCUCAAUAACCACUCUUUUGGACUUCUGCAUGACCUCGAGUUUGUUCACUCCUACUGCAGUUAUUGUUACAAACAAACAUCGCCAAAAUAUUUUGAAGGAAGUAUGCAGAUGUUUUGCAAGGACAAUUAUACACUGUCCACAGGGGAAACCACCUCAAGGUUUUAUCUGGAACCCUAAUGGUUUAGCUAAAACACUUUUCUGGAAGAGAAUACAGGACUCAUGGAAGACUGAGGUAAAUUAUUUCUCUGUUCCAGAACUGCUAGUCUUACCGCUGAAAUUGCAGAUAACAGCGGGUGUGUCUCAGUGCUGUUAAACUUCACUUUGUUUGGAAUGCUGGCAAUAAAAGGACUAUUUAAUUUACAUUUUUGGCCUUUUCUAACUUACUAUAACUGAAGAAUGACUUCCCAACGGCGUGUAGAAAGCAGUUAUCU